ensembl:lncRNA
GUUCCCACGCCCCUCUCCCUGUUCCCAUGGCAACGCUUUUAGGUGUUUUCCAAUGUUAAAAAAAGUUGCCACUAGGGCGCCAAAUUCCCUCCCUUCUGCUUCAUAGUUACCGUACCAAAAUGAACCAACGAAGACGGAGGACUACUCUAAGAUUGCAGUACCCAAAAAAGUCCGCUGGGGCUAGAGCUAUCCGAGAGUGGUCUCGGAAUUCCCACGCCCCGCUGUUUGCCCGAGCUAGGUCCAAAAAAACGUUUUUGAAAAGUGUGGCAAGCAAACGCCAGGCCUCUACCACUGGGUCUCAGGUGAAGAGGGGUGAUGUGGUUCGAGCCGAGGCGAGGGCCAGAGCCCUGCAGAAGGGUGGCAUGUCGGGCGAGUUUGUGCUGGCGGAGAGCGAGGUGCAGUUUGGCCUGUACCGCGGCCAAACUUUCCAGUGGCUGCUGGGAAAUGCGGUGGGGGUGCGCCGUCACCAUCUUGGUGUCCCACCAGAUGGAGAGAGGAGGAGACACCAGCAAGUCGCCCCUCAUGGAGAACAAGGACGCCCUCGCCUCCUACGCCGGGCUGUUCCCACCCAUGGUGACGGCCGUCGCCAGGCGUAGGUUGUGCGAGGGCUCCGCGUCUUCCAGGGGGCUGGACGACGCGCUGGUGGGGUUCGGGGUGCAUUCACACCGGACCUACAAGUCCCUGUAUGGCGCGCGGGACCAAGAGAGUCGAACCUAUGUGGCUUGGGUCAGGACGCAGAAGGUGGGAGCUACUGCGUCAAGGAUGGGAACCCUGAAGCAGUAUGUGCUGGCCCGGGACGCUGAGCCCACAGCAGCACCGGAGCCAGGACAUGUCCUCCCACGGCCAGGCGUCUCCUACUCUGACCCGACCGACGCCGAACUGCUCGCCGCUGCCAACGAGGUCGACCCUCCCAGCACGUCCAGGGACGCCCCGCCGGCCGCGGCCCCGCUGGAAGGACCAGCACCAGGUCCAGGACCAGGACCGAUGGCCACGAGGCCUGCCUCCGGCAAAGAGCUGCUUCCCCUCAGCUGGAGGAAGACGCUGCCUGAGGAGCAGCAGGAGUGGGUGGGCCGGGCGCUGUUCCGCAGGGACCCCAGCAGCGGGAAGGCUGUGCUCACCACACCGCCCCGACUGUGGUGGUACCCGCCAGGCGCCCGGCUCCUCUACACUCAGCCCCCCCGCCACUGCCCACGCCUUCUUCCAGCGCCCCUUCUUCCUCUGGCUUCCGUAUCGGAUGUGGGCGUACCACCUCAAGUGCCCCGCCGAUGGGGGUAAGCUGAUGGGCGCUGGCCUAUACAAGACCGUGCGGAGGGUCUUGGACAGGAGUGGGUGGUAUUACAUGGCCACAGAGUGCCUUCAGUGCCCCUCCUGCGGCAAGAAGGUGGCGGGCUGGUCCCAGGACAUCCUGGAGCAGCUGGACGUUGCUCACCGCGAGGAAUUCCCGGCCGUUCUGACCUACAAGUUGUCCUGCGACAGAGCGGUGAUAGCCAUGCUCAAGGAGCGCACCUUUGGCAACGGCGUGUCUCGCCUCCGUGCCUCCCUGGUGGAGCAGCACUCCAGGGACUGGAUGCAGCGCUCCAUCGCCUACCUGUCGGUGCUCCGCAAGCUGAGGGGACCCGGAAUGGCCCAGAAGGACGACGUGUCCCUGCCGACCUUCGUCAAGGUGCCCGGGCUCACCUGGUUUGGUCGGGUGUACGUGCUGGAGGCCGUGACCAGGCUGGACGAGACCAAGGCCAGGGUGACGUCGAUCUUGGGCGACAUCCUAAAGAUGGACUCCACCAAGAAGGUGAGGUUUCUCUCUCCGUGUGCCGUCGCCUCGUAUGACGUCUGUGUGCCGUCCGUCCGUCCGU